rnacentral:rRNA from 1 species
AUUGAACGCUGGCGGCAGGCCUAACACAUGCAAGUCGAGCGGAUGAUGAAAGCUUGCUUUCUGAUUCAGCGGCGGACGGGUCAGUAAUGCCUAGGAAUCUGCCUGUUAGUGGGGGAUAACUCGGGGAAACUCGGGCUAAUACCGCAUACGUCCUACGGGAGGAAGUGGGGGAUCGUCGGGCCUCACGCUAAGAGAUGAGCCUAGGUCGGAUUAGAUAGUAGGUGAGGUAAUGGCUCACCUAGGUUACGAUCCGUAACUGGUCUGAGCGGAUGAACAGUCACACUGAAACUGAGACUCGGUCCAGACUCCUGAGGGAGGCAACAGUGGGGAAUAUUGGACAAGGGGCGAAAGGCUGAUCCAGCCAUGCCGCGUGUGUGAAGAAGGUCUUCGGAUUGUAAAGCACUUUAAGUUGGGAGGAAGGGUUGUAGACUAAUACUCUGCAAUUUUGACGUUACCGACAGAAUAAGCACCGGCUAACUCUGUGCCAGCAGCCGCAGUAACAC